UACGUAGGGUGCAAGCGUUGUCCGGAAUUAUUGGGCGUAAAGAGCUCGUAGGCGGUUUGUUGCGUCGGCUGUGAAAUCCCGAGGCUCAACCUCGGGUCUGCAGUCGAUACGAGCAAACUAGAGUGUUGCAGGGGAGACUGGAAUUCCUGGUGUAGCGGUGAAAUGCGCAGAUAUCAGGAGGAACACCGGUGGCGAAGGCGGGUCUCUGGGACGGUACUGACGCUAAGGCGCGAAAGCGUGGGGAGAGAACAGG
rnacentral:rRNA from 1 species